GGGCGGAGGAGAUGAUGCAGCCCCAACUUUCCUUUUUAAUAGCUUCCUUUUAAUAAACAAGUUCAAAUUUAAAUAUCUUGUUAUUUAGGAAUAUAUUUAGGAAUAGGCAGUUAUUUUGUUUGGGAAUAGAUUUAUUAGGUAUGAUUAAUUAGGAGUAGUUUAAGGAUUUGGACUCUAUAUAAUGUAACCUGGAGUUACGAGAAAUAAGAAAGUAAUAUUGUCUCUUUUUUCUCAUAUCUUGUCUUCUUUUUCUACCUCUUCUCUCUACUUCUCUAUUUCUC
rnacentral:lncRNA from 1 species